GGUCGAUAGGACUAGUGUUUCUAGCUGUGUGGAAGCCAAAAUACCGCACUGGGCCACCCCGCUCUUUGGGUCCGUUUUAGCCAAACAUAUGGAUACUUUCACAAUAGGGGAUAGAUAUAGGGCAUGGUUUUUCAGCAGGAAUGGGAAUCUGUAGUUUAUUAUUUUCAGGUUAAGUUAAUAUGCAAAUUAUGCAAAAUAUGUGGAAAUACAGUAAUUAUUGUUGCUUUAAAAGCUUUUAGCUAGCAACAGAACGGCAACCUUAAUUGCAAAGCACACACAUCAAUGAUUCAUCAUUCAUUUAACAAAUAUUUAAUAAGCACCUUAUGAGAAAAGCUGCAGUAGGUUUUGUGGAGGAUGGGAGGAUGACUAAGACCCAGUUCUGUUGUCAUGGAAACCAUUGUGACUCCUGCCAUCAGCCACCACCUGUUCUUAUUGCAGAUCUGAAAAUUAAGUCCUAGCACCUUUAGAAAACAAUCACACACACAGUUUGACUUGGCUCUAAAGUGUCCCAGCAAAUCCAUCAAAUUAUUAUUUCCUUUUACAUGGGGGGAACAACACAGUAACCCUUUGUCCUUUGCUCUAAGUUGUUUUUCCAGGAAUGGAGACAGGUUACCCUGAGCUGUUCAUAUUCGCUGGCUCUUGGCUUGUGAAUAAUAACAUACAUCUGAGCUGCUUCAGGGUCUGUGCAGAUGACCCAUUCAACAACAUGGCCUGGCAUGCCCUUGUCCUCUCAAGACUCCUCAGUGGCCCACCUUAUGGUCCAAAUCUUGAAUCCUGUUGUUGCUCAGAGCUGCUUGACCUCUAGGAUCUUAAACCGGCCACAGGUGUCUCUUGCAAGUUCAUACUUCCUGAGUUUUAACAUCCCUGUGUUCUCUAACCCUUCAACUGCCUGAAAUUCUUAGUCUCUCUCCCAUCCACUGGAAUAAAGAAGCAUUUAGAGGCUGCAGAAAAUUGGAAGGCGGGGGAGGGGUGGUGGACUUUAGAAGCUUUUACAUAGCAAGCAGAGGCUUCUAGACACAUUACAGCUUAGAAUGUAUGCUUCCCUGGUUCAGAAUGACGGUGGGGUGAUGAUAGAGACUGUAGGUAGAAUAAACUGGAGAAAGGAAAGCAGGGGAGGUAAUUAGGGACUAAACUAAGAUGGUGAGAAAGAGGAAAAGAGAUUUAAAGAUUUGGAGGUAAACUAAACAGUUGUUAUAUAUACGACAAGAGGUAAGGGGGUGCAAGGAGUAGGAAAGCAUCAAGGAUGGCUAUGAUUUAUCUAACUCGGGGACUGAAUAGAUGAGUGAUAAUGCAUUAAUCAAGUUGAAGAACAGUGGAGGUCAAGAAAUCAAAAGAACAGAAAGUAUAAGACCCAACAGCCCAUUGGAGUUGGGAGCUCAACUUCCAUUCAUCAGUGUUGGGACUCACUUCUCUGUAUGGUUGGCACCUUUGUCCCAGAGCUUUUGGGAAUAUAAGGUUUCUUUGCCUCAGGAGUCAUUGUGGUUCAAAUUUGGGCUGAAUGUAAAGCAAUCAGAGUUUUUAUAGAAAUAUGGCUUCGUGGGUCCACUUGUCAGAGAUGCUGACUCUGGGUCUAGGGUGGGAAUUUAGGAAUCUGUAAUUUAGGUACAUGUUCCCUGACUCCCAACCUUGAUUCUGAUGCACAGGGGCCAAGGGCCACCCCUUGAGAGACUGCUCUAGGUGAACCUUCGCUUUCCUUCAUGUUUUGCCUCAGUGGAAUCCUUGGAAAGCUUAGCUAUAAAUCAAAAGGCUUUUAAACAUCAUGAGUUUCUCUUUAGGAUUUCUUUUGGGUUCUACUAUAGGAAAACUGCAUCAAAAUUAAAGCAGGGUUCUUAUCCCCAAGAAAAAAAAUAGGUAAAGGGCACAAAAUGAUAAUUCAUAGAAGAAAAAGCAUUUAAUAAACUAAUGAAGAAAUGUCCAACAAAUAAGGAAAGAAAUACGAAACAACUAGAUCCCAUUUUCAACUAAAAAAUAGACAAGUUUUUUUUUUCUCUUUUUCCUAAUGAUUCAUGGAACAAGCAUGCUCAAACCUUGUUAGUAUAAAUAUAAGAAGUGAAAAAUAAUUUGAGAGUGGGUAUCGAAGAAGCCCUCGAAUCUUAAUAUGCUGAGAAUUCUUCCUGAGGAAAUAAGCAGAGAGAGGCACAAAGAUUAUGCCUACGGAUGUUUACUGGAAUCCUAUUUAAAAUGAUGAAAAAUUGAAACAACCUAAUUGAUCAUUAGUUUAAAAAUGAUUAAAAUAAAUGGCAGCAUACCCAUAAUGAGUAAUAUUAUGGAACCAUUAAACAGUAUGUUUCGAGGAAUAAUUAAGGCAAUGGAGAACUAACUGUUCUAAUCGAGUAAAUGGAGAGAGCUGGAAACAGUUUUUUAUUUAAUGGAAUCCUGAUUUGUCUGGAGAAAAAUGUAGAUGUCUACACACAAAAAUUUUUUUGAAAAAAUAUUUAAAAUAUCAACCCUCUCUGGAGGGUUCUUUACACUUCGUACAUUUUUGCACAUUUUCUUCAGUGAUUAUGAAUUAAUUUUAUAUCUUAAUAAAAAACAUUCUCCCCCUAAGAAACAAAAACCCUGAUUCUGACUUCAGCCUGAAAAAUUGUCUCUGGUCUUUGUCUGGGCCGAUUUAGAGCCAAACUGAAUUCUGUAUAAUUCUACACUCUGAAGUGCUACAGCUCUCCUGGUCUUGGCAGUAAAAGACUCUCCAGGCACUUGAAUAAGAUCCUCGCAAUCAGAGUCGUGAUUACUAAGAGGUUCAAGCUUUGUUUGUAAGAGAAGUUCUGAUUCUUUUCUUUAAAAGUUCCUACUUUCACUGAUUAGUCUUAUUUUUCAUGAAGUUAGAAGUGCUCUUGUAAACUUCCAUUUGUUGGAUAUCUCCUUUUUAACCCUACGUGUGUUCCAAAAAGCCUUCAGUCUUUGCAGAGUCAGUGGGAGCCCCGCAUAGGUAAGUGUGGCCGGCUUAGGGGUAGGUGGUGCUUAGGUGCUCCUGGGUGUGGUCAGCACCCUCCCCACCACCUCCCCUGCCCAGCAACUAGAUGGGAAUUUGGGUGUCCAUCAGGCUGGCCCCGUCUGAGCUAAAACCCUCUGGACCCGCCUCCAUGCUGAACCCCUCCUCUGCUCCAGUCUCAUGCCCGUUAGCUCUCCAUUCCCUCACCCUCAGCUCUCAGCCUGGUUUCCUGCUCAGAGCCCAGCAUCCUCCCCUUGGAUCUGUAGCAUGAUGUUGCUUCUGGGAUGUGGGCCUUGGCUCCCUUCUUUGGCUUCAUUUACCUUCAUUUCCUAAAUGACAUGCACUUCCAGAUGAUUUAGCAAAGGAUUCUGCCCAUCGAGUCCAGUCCUGGGUCCCUUCUCUGAACCCCCAGAAACGGAACUGCUCCAGAGGCAGUGAACCCACAGAUCCACAAGCCCUAACCUGUGACAAGGUCCCUACAGUUCUGGUAACAAUUUGCUGUUACCUGGUGGUGGAAUAUGCUUAGGAAAGCGCACACCAGCCUCUGAGUAGACGACUGACCCUUGCCUUCCUCCCGCUUAGGGCCAGGGCCGGAAGACUUCACCCAACCCUGCGGCUCCCCUCUCAGAGGAGGAAUACCUACCCCCAGGAUUUCUUUGGAACCGUUACAGGCUGCAAUGCUUGCAGAGAGCUGAGAUCACAAGGUGGCCAAAUCACCAAUUCCAAAGUUCGGCAAGCUCUACGAUGGAGAGAAGAGACAUGCAAACCGUUUCACAUUUGGCAGAGUGCUGGAGAAAAAGUGACUGCCACGGAAGUGGGUAAGAAGAAAUCAGCUAAAAUUUUCACCUAAUUCCUAAAGGCUGAGCAUAUCAGUUUAGAAUUACUGGGAGCCUUUUAUGUGUCCACUUGACUAGGCACAGUACCCAGAUAUUUGAUGAAACACUAUUCUGUAUGUUUCUGCAAAGUUUUGUUUUUUUUAAAUGAAAAUAACAUUUAAAUCAGUAGGCUUUGUAUAAAACAGAUUGCCCUCCAGCAUGUGGGUGGGUCUUUUCCAAUCAGUUGAGGAUUUUAAGAGAAAAAGACUGAGGUCCCCAGAAAAAUUCUGCCAGCAGACAGCUUUUAGACCUGAGUUAUAGCAUUGGCUCUUCCGUGGUUCUCCAACCUCCCAGACUACCCUGCAGAUUUUGGACUUACCAGCCUCCAUAAUUUUGAGAGCCAAUUCCUUAAAAUAAAUAUUUAUUUCUCUUAGAUAUUUAGACAGGUAUAUAUAUUUCUUCCCCCUCCUCCAUGUAUAUAUGUGCAGGAGAAACCUAUGUCACUCUGGACAGAAUGGACAGCUGAAGCACUUGUGCCCCACAAAAAGAGCAGGAAAAGUGGCUCGAGGGUGUCAUAUGGUCAGUUUCUCAAAAUAUGUAUAUACUGAUUCUGUUUCUCUAGAGAACAGUAAUGCAGAGCUCCAGGGGAGUUUAUGUUCACCUGCAAGGUCUUCUCCACAGGUGUUCAAUGGGUGCUCAUAAGAAAGGUUGGGGGCAGGACAGGAGACCAGAGAGAGCCCCACUUUGGUGGUGUAUGUUUGUGUGAUUUGUCUGGCUGCUGUUGGGGUUAGGCGCAAACAACCACCCAUGUCAUCUGACCCUUCUUUAUUAAAGCAAAAGAGCUUUAAGCCACUAGGGAUGGGGCAGUAGACCCUCCUGCCCCCAGGGUCAGCAGGGCAAGGGUUGAAGCAAAACCUGUCUGCAUAUAGGGAAGGGCAGGAAAUCAUCCUUCUCACUUCCAUGAACCCAACAGACAUCUGUUGCUUUGGGAGGAAGAGUAGAAGCAAAAGCUGUUUGCUCUUGGGGCAGAGGUGGGAGGGUAGGAGAAAUCAUGAAAAAAACUCUUGGGUCCAAGAACCUACACCAAUAUAAAGCAGAGGCAGACUACCACUGGGAGGGAAACAGGUACCUCUCUCCUGCCCAAGCCCCACCAAAGAUACAAGGCAGAGUUUGGCUAACAUGGAGGAAGUGAGGGAAGGAGAGUCAGACCAUUGAGAAGUUUCCACUCCCCAGGCCCAGAUGCACAGGUCUUAUCUAGACUGAAGCUGAACCAACAACAACCACCUGCCUCCACCACAGUCUAGCAACAAGCAGCAGGUAACAACAGUCUAUUGCUGAGGGGCAGAUAAGACUGUAAGGGAAAAAUCCUCCAGUAACCCAUACUCCACACUAAGUACAAGGUGGGCACUUGCUGGUGCACCAAGGAUCAUGAUAGCAACAACUCAACUCAAGCCAGCCCAACUACUGACUAGAUUAACUCACAACAAUUGCCUAGCAGAAGAAGCAUGACUCUUUUCAGGUGUAAAUGCUGUUCACCUUAGUCUCCAUUGGCUUCUACACAUAACAUAAUAUCCAGCAUACAAUAACAAAUUAUGACAAUACAAAAAAAAAAAAGAGAGAGAGAGAGAGAGAGAGGCUUAU